AUUGAACGCUGGCGGCAGGCCUAACACAUGCAAGUCGAGCGAGCGGCGGACGGGUGAGUAAUUUAUGGGGCUCUGCCCCAUAGUGGGGGGUAACUACUGGAAACGGUAGCUAAUACCGCAUACUAUCGCAUGAAUCCAUAUGGGAUUGGCUAGUAGGUGAGGUAAUGGCUCACCUAGGCGACGAUCCCGAGCUGGUCUGAGAGGAUGAUCAGCCACACUGGGACUGAGACACGGCCCAGACUCCUACGGGAGGCAGCAGGGGGGAAUAUUGCACAAGGGGAGAAAGCCGGAUGCAGCCAUGCCGGGUGUAUGAAGAAGGCCCUAGGGUUGUAAAGCACUUUCAGCGAGGAGGCGUUACUCGCAGAAGAAGCACCGGCUAACUACGUGCCAGCCGCCGCGGUAAUUC
rnacentral:rRNA from 1 species